rnacentral:sRNA from 1 species
CUAGGUCUUGGAGGCUGGUGUAAGGCGAUGCGGGUGAAGGCAGGAGGCUGAUGGAAAGACUGGGGGGAAGAAAAGCCGAAAUGGAUUCACGGUGCCUUGGAUGAAGGACGAGAGGGGAACUGCAAGCUCCUUCAACUGGUUCUGUCCGGUGAGAAGUGAUCAAGCUUGGGCUGACAAGAGGCUCAGGGAGCCCUCACGUUCUUUCGCUUUUUUACCUGCCAAUCAAACUGCUACAAGACAACACCCUGAUCUGGCAUGGACAUAAUCAAGCUUUGGUCAUUCUGGAAGUCGUGUAGCAUGCUCCAAUUUGAAGUGACUGAGAUCUUUUGUGACUUACAGAGGAGAAGGAAAUGUUUUAAAAAUUGGCUUAUGCCAGUCUCCUUACUCUGCAAUUCUCAAUUUUCUUGUAUUACAGGAUAAAUAUAAAUAUCAUCUCACCAAAUUG